UUCCUCUUAUCCAGAAGUGCUAAUGAUCAAGAACAUGGAUUGAUGCCAAGCAGAGCAUGGGUGAAGAUUUCAGCAACAUCCUGACCCUCCCGGAAGAUGAAAACACUAAAAUCCUUCAUGCAGAGUGCCCUGCUUACAUCUCGAUUCCUUUGACAUGCAGCCACUCUGGCUUCAGAUACUUACACAGAAUAAUCUAGUGACUUGUAUUAUGUGCUGUUGCUUGAAGUUUUCCUUCCUUGGUGAAAGUAGAUGCAUGCAUUUUACAACAGGAAUGAAGACGACACUGGGCCUGGGACUUUAAUGAUGGUCCAUCUUGCACCAAAGGACAUGCUAUUUUCUGAAUAAAAUAUGAAAUGAAGAAAGUCAUGGAUCAGAAAAGGAAGUUGUAGGGAAGCUGACCAUAUCAUCAAUUCCUUGGUUUCAAUGUAUGUUUUGUUUUUCUCACCUGAAUGCACAGCAUGAGUGGAUAUAGAGUGGGUGAGCUGAACUUACCACUUUGAUUAAAGAAUUUCCAGCUGUGAUUUCCAAAUGUGCAUCUGCCGUGUCAGGUCCACUGUUCCACUGGACAGAAUCCCAGGCCCCAGAGUGUCCUAAGCAUACAGCCAUGGAAUCAGCUCUAGCACUCCAUGGAGCAUCAUCAAAGCAUGAUGCAAACACUGUUUCCAGGUCAGAAUACCCAACCAUCAAGCCUAUACUCAGGGAAAGGACAAUGACAGUGACUUUACUUCAAUUUUUUCUGGGUUUUGUUUCCUUAAGAUGUUUUGAAUAAGAAUGAAUCAAUCUACAUCCAUGUAAGGUUCAUGAAUUUGGAAAUAACCAGCAUUUCUGAAGACACGAUGGGAGGAAGAAGUAGCCUUGAUGAUAUUCAGCCUGACAGACCACAGCAACUCUCAUGGCCAGGAAACA